UACGAAGGGGGCUAGCGUUGCUCGGAAUUACUGGGCGUAAAGCGCACGUAGGCGGAUCUUUUAAGUCAGGGGGUGAAAUCCUGGAGCUCAACUCCAGAACUGCCUUUGAUACUGAGGACCUUGAGUUCGGGAGAGGUGAGUGGAACUGCGAGUGUAGAGGUGAAAUUCGUAGAUAUUCGCAAGAACACCAGUGGCGAAGGCGGCUCACUGGCCCGAUACUGACGCUGAGGUGCGAAAGCGUGGGGAGCAAACAGGG
rnacentral:rRNA from 1 species